CCUACGGGCGGCUGCAGUGGGGAAUAUUGCACAAUGGGGGAAACCCUGAUGCAGCGACGCCGCGUGAGUGAAGAAGUAUCUCGGUAUGUAAAGCUCUAUCAGCAGGGAAGAAAAUGACGGUACCUGACUAAGAAGCCCCGGCUAACUACGUGCCAGCAGCCGCGGUAAUACGUAGGGGGCAAGCGUUAUCCGGAUUUACUGGGUGUAAAGGGAGCGGAGACGGGGCUGCAAGUCCGGAGUGAAAGCCCAUGGCUUAACCAUGGUACUGCGCUGGAAACUGUGGAGCUUGAGUGCGGGAGGGGCAGGCGGAAUUCCUAGUGUAGCGGUGAAAUGCGUAGAUAGUAGGAGGAACACCAGUGGAGAAGGCGGCUUACUGGACUGUAACUGACGUUGAGGCUCGAAAGCGUGGGGAGCAAACAGGAUUAGAUACCCGUGUAGUC
rnacentral:rRNA from 1 species